rnacentral:ncRNA from 1 species
ACAAUGUAUUAAGAGUGAGAUUAAGUUCUCCUCCAACCUGCCAACUCCGGCAAGGUGGAAAAAUGAUACGGUUUUUAUUAACAACAAAUGGAGGUUCA